rnacentral:rRNA from 1 species
UCAAGCGAACAAGGGCGCAGGGCGAAUGCCUUGGCACUGGGAGCCGAUGAAAGACGUGAUAAGCUGCGAUAAGCUUCGGGGAGCUGCAAAUAAGCAUUGAUCCGGAGAUUUCUGAAUGAGGAAACUCACCUGGGUUCAUACUCGGGUACGUUGUACUGAAAUUCAAAAUAGGUACAUCGGGGGAACCGCCUGAACUGAAACAUCUAAGUAGGGCGAGGAAGAGACAUCAAACGAGAUUCCGUAAGUAGUGGCGAGCGAACGCGGAAGAGGGCAAACCGGGAGUAGAAAUACUUCCGGGGUACGGACUGCUUUUAGGACUCGAUCUGUUAACCGAACGGCAUGGGAAGGCCGGUCAGAGAGUGUGAGAACCACGUAGGUGAAAACGGAAAGAGCUGCGCAGAUUCCAGAGUACGGCCAGACACGUGAAACCUGGUCGGAAGAUGGGGGGACCACCCUCCAACCCUAAAUACUACCCAGUGACCGAUAGCGUAUAGUACUGUGAAGGAAAGGUGAAAAGCACCCCGGGAGGGGAGUGAAAAAGAACCUGAAACCCUGUGCCUACAAGCACCUAGAGCACGUCAAAGUGUGAUAGGGUACUUUUUGUAGAACGGUCCGGCGAGCGAUUGUAUGCAGCAAGGUUAAGGACUUAAGGUCUGGAGCCGAAGCGAAAGCGAGUUUGAAAAGGGCGUUAAGUUGCAUAUAAUGGGCCCGAAACCGGGUGACCUACCCAUGGUCAGGUUGAAGUGGAAGUAAAAUUCCAUGGAGGACCGAACCGACCUCCGUUGAAAAGGCGGCGGAUGAACUGUGGGUAGCGGAGAAAUUCCAAUCGAACCCGGAGAUAGCUGGUUCUCCCCGAAAUAGUUUUAGGACUAGCCUCAAGUUAGAUACCUGGAGGUAAAGCACUGAAUAGCCUAGCGGCCGAGAGGUUAGCGAAGCUUAUCAAACUCAGAAUGCCAGAGUAUUGAUGCUUGGGAGUCAGACAGUGUCAGAUAAAUGUCAUUGUCAAAAGGGAAACAGCCCAGAUCUACAGCUAAGGUCCCAAAGUCAGGUUAAGUGGAAAACGAUGUGAAGAUACGCAGACAACCAGGAUGUUGGCUCAGAAGCAGCCACUCAUUCAAAGAGUGCGUAAUAGCUCACUGGUCGAGCGUCUUUGCGCGGAGAAUUUAACGGGGCUAAACCUGACACCGAAGCUUAGGCAAUCCAGCAAUGGAUUGGGUAGGGGAGCGUUGUAUACGCGGAGAAACAGUAGCGUAAGCGGCUGUGGAGUGUAUAGAAGUGAGAAUGCCGGAAUGAGUAGCGCGAAUGCAGUGAGAAUCUGCAUGGCCGAAAGCCUCAGGUUUUUGGAGGAAGGUUCGUCCGCUCCAAGUUAGUCGGGAGCUAAGGUGAGGCCGGAAGGCGUAGCCGAUGCACAGACGGUAGAGAUUCCGUCACCACCAAAAGAGUUAAGCACAGGGACACAUUUGAAGUCUCAGAGCCGGGUGUUGGUUCCGGUAGAGAUCGAGGGAAAUUAGUACCGAAGUCUGGGAUGGAAGAUGGCGAGAAAAGCUGUGUGUAUUUCUGAGGUGCCCGUACCGCAAACCGACACAGGUAGGUAGGAAGAAGAUUCUAAGGCCAACGGGAGAAGGGUUGUUAAGGAACUCGGCAAAUUGACCCCGUAACUUCGGGAGAAGGGGUGCUCCAGAGAUGGAGCCGCAGAGAAUCGGCCCAAGCAACUGUUUACCAAAAACACAGGUUUGUGCUAAAUCGAAAGAUGACGUAUACGAGCUGACGCCUGCCCGGUGCUGGAAGGUUAAGAGGAGAUGUGCAAGCAUUGAAUCGAAGCCCCAGUGAACGGCGGCCGUAACUAUAACGGUCCUAAGGUAGCGAAAUUCCUUGUCAGGUAAGUUCUGACCCGCAUGAAAGGCGUAAUGAUUUGGGCACUGUCUCAACAGCCCGCCCGGCGAAAUUGUAGUACCGGUGAAGAUGCCGGUUACCCGCGACAAGACGGAAAGACCCCAUGGAGCUUUACUGUAGCCUAAUAUUGGGUUUCGAUGUUGCAUGCACAGGAUAGAUGGGACAC